AAUACCUACGGGACGCAGCAGUGGGGAAUAUUGCACAAUGGGGGAAACCCUGAUGCAGCAACGCCGCGUGAGUGAAGAAGUAUUUCGGUAUGUAAAGCUCUAUCAGCAGGGAAGAAGAUGACGGUACCUGAUUAAGAAGCCCCGGCUAACUACGUGCCAGCAGCCGCGGUAAUACGUAGGGGGCAAGCGUUAUCCGGAUUUACUGGGUGUAAAGGGAGCGUAGACGGCAUAGCAAGUCUGAAGUGAAAGCCCAAGGCUCAAC
rnacentral:rRNA from 1 species